rnacentral:snoRNA from 1 species
CCAUGAUGAGACACAUCGCUGGCACCAGUCCGAGAAAGACUUGUACUCUUUUUGCUGCGGAUUAGCAUUGCACGAGACUCGAUCUCCCUCUCUGAA